CUCUCCCCAAUCCCCUCUCGUUUGGCGGCCUCCUCCGCUCCCAGCCGCCGCCUCCGCUCCGCGCCUGCCCCACGGAGGAAACCCUAGAUGCCGCCCGCCUAUCCCCUCGCGUGCUCCCUAACCCUUGUAGCCGCCGCCCCCGUCCCUUCUCCUCCCUUCCCCUUGCCUCGUCCUCGCCUCCUCCACCCGCAACCCCCGUCGCCGGGCAGCCGCCUCGUCACUCGAGCAGCAGCACACCAUGGUAUGGAGCGGCUAGGAGGAGCUUAUUCGUGGCGGCAAGAGGAGGGCAGGGCGUCGGAUCGGAAGGAGCGCGGAUGGCGGCCGGUGGCCCGCGGCCGGCAGGAGCAGCGCAGACCGUCACUCGCACCGCCGCGGCGCGCCGUGAUGUCGCCGGAAGGAGCGGCCGGUCGAGCUCCGUCUGUCCUGCACGUUUCUACGCCUGUGAGAUUCUCCUCCACGACCCCCACUUGCUCCUGCUGCUUCGUCAAUGAUCUUACCGAAGGUACAUAUUCUGUAUCCCAAGCUGCUCGUCCAUGACUCAUGUUGCAGCUAAUCUCCUUAAUCACUGUAUCCACCUCACCCGAAUGGAACAAGGAGAAGCCUGCUGCCUUUUCGUUUUGGUAAAAAAUUCCCCUAAUCUAUGCUUUUGCAUUGUAUUUCACCUCACCCGAAUGGAACAAGGAGAAGCCUGCUGCCUUUUCGUUUUGGUACAUCAAUUUUUGUAAAUCAUGCUGCUCAAUUCAUGGCCCCCUCCUAGCAAGAAUUCAGAGAUAGGGCCAAAGUGACAAUCAGAUUCUUUCCAUGAUGCUAGAAAGAGACAAGAAAAUAACAAAGAGAAUAUUGAUGGUUUUCUGGCUAUCCUGAAUUUGUCUGGCAACAACUUCUCUCCCCAACUCAGUAGCGCAUGAUCGGGUGACGACGGUGCUUCUGUUUGUAGUAACAAGCAUUGAUGAGGAUAGCUCUCUACUCUUCCCAACUCAGAAGCUUCCGCUUGCAUGGUUUUCACAUGUGGUUCCAUGGCACUGAUAGCUCAUUCAGAGUUGAUAUCCAUAAAAAAAACGUUUGGUUGCUCAAGUUUUAAGUAAUAUAUGACUUCUGGUUUCCGUUCGAUUUGAAUAGGGAGAUACACUCCAUAUUACCUCUACAUGUCAUUGAUUUUUCGUCAAGAUAUCAGCCUUGGACUCUGCUCUGAGAUUGCCUCUGCAAUGCUGAGCCACGACCGGAGGCUUGCAGUGGUGGUGUGGUCACUGGUCUGACCCUGGCAGGGUGUCUAACACUGGCAAUCUCGCCAUCUCUAUACAAGCCUGAGGUAAACAAGGCCUCCCUGCCCUCAAGCUGACUUAGGAUGUACAUCUGCAACCUCAGGUUGAAGCCGUAUCACCAAGGUGCAGCACAGUGGCUGCGUGUAGUGAGCAGCCUUUGAGGAAACUCAAGCACACUUGCCCCUUCUAUUGCAGACCUAGAGAAGUGUUCUAUUUGCAGCAUAUAAAUUUCUUCCUGUAUUAAUUUAUUGACGAACAGUAGGUGCACAUCAGCAUGCAAUGUUGUUAUCAGUAACCAGACUUCCAUACUCUGCAUUUAUAAGCGUUUCCAUUGAUCUGGCUUUCCCAUCUACACUUCUUCCUCUUAGUUAAUAUUGGUUCUCUCUCUGCAAUUGAAAUGUACUGCUAUAUAUGUUGUAGGACUGCAAACCUGGCAUAAUUUAGCUUUCUCUUAAUGUUUCCUUUAGAUUUACUUCCAUUCUCUGUUAUAUUACAAACCCUACUUAAGCUUGAUCGCAGUUAUUUAUUUUCUUGCAUUUAGCUUUCUUUUAAUGUCUCCAUUAGAUUUACUUCCACGGUAUUCCUUUUUAAGAUGCUAUUGCUUCCCAGAAUUUCAUAGUUGUCCUGUUAGAUACUUUUGGUGAUAUCACUGGACAUUGUUGUUUGAAUAAAGAUCGUGUUGCUCGACCUGCUGCUGCGACCAUGAGGUGAUGCGAUGUGCUACUGCUACUGGUGAGAACCAACAGGAAGAGCAGAAACAGAGGGAGAAGGAGUGGUGAAAAAAAAGAGGAUUGGCAGAGGAGGAAGAGACCUCGGCGGCGUGCUUGGAGCUCCACGAUCCCAUCCGUACCCCUCUUUGUCUGGCUGCAGAAGGAGGGCUUCGAUGGCGUGUCUUCUCUCUCUCCAGCCGAAGGGCGAGGAAAUGGAUGAGCAAUGAGUUGAAAGCAAAGGUCAGAAAGGGACCAAUAUUAUCAACUUCACGGUGUACAUCUGGUCAAUAGGUGGUAAUAAAAGAAGAAGGGUUUGAAUAUGAGUGCAUCUACCACUGAAUGGUGCUUCCAUUGCAGCUGGGGCACCUUCUAUGACAGGUUACUGUGUUGGAAGGUCCGUGUGAUUGAAUCGUUGACUGGCUUAGGCAGGGUGUGAUUGAUUAUUGCUGCCUCUCUAUCUUUUGAAAGACGCUAUUUCUUAGGUCUUGAAAUGAAGCAAUGGAGACAUGCAUAUCGCUAGCUCUGAACACCACUGUAUUAGCCAGCUCAUGGUACCUGAUGGGUUCAGGCCCUUGCUUCUAGCAGGUUCCAGCAGACACAUGCACAUCUGUCGUUGUAUGACUGGUCAAGAAGGGAGAUGCAGGGGAAGGUUUUGUAUCUGAUGAAUAGUUCUAGCUAACGUGAAGUGGAACACCAGCAACAUAGAUCUGCUAAGGUUCCCAGGACUGAUGUGCUUUCCACCAUGUUUGGGUGGUCGUCAGCAUGUCCGUGCACUUCUUUUGUGUGUCUUUGCCUCGUGCGUGUUUGGUCUAUGUUGCUGGUAGUCACCGAUUUCUAUGGUGGUGAUGUAUGCUAUUGGCAUGUUAUGCCAUGAUUUUAAGGCAUUCAGCUAUAAUUGCUAAAUCUGAUGAAAA